rnacentral:tRNA from 1 species
GCCCGGAUGGCCCAGCGGUUACGGCGCGGGAUUGCUAAUCCCGUUUCACGCGAGUGAUUCCCAGGUUCAAAUCCUGGUCCGGGCG